rnacentral:rRNA from 1 species
GCAGUUAGGCUCCCCUGUGUUCUUUUCAUGUAAUCCCAGAAGCUAAGCAGGGUUGGACUGGGUUGAUACAUGGAUGGGAGACUGCCUGGGAAUACUAGGUGCUUAAGGCA